ACGAACGCUGGCGGCGUGCUUAAUACAUGCAAGUCGAACGAAGAGCGAUGGAAGCUUGCUUCUAUCAAUCUUAGUGGCGAACGGGUGAGUAACGCGUAAUCAACCUGCCCUUCAGAGGGGGACAACAGUUGGAAACGACUGCUAAUACCGCAUACGAUCUAAUCUCGGCAUCGAGGAUAGAUGAAGGGUGGCCUCUACAUGUAAGCUAUCACUGAAGGAGGGGAUUGCGUCUGAUUAGCUAGUUGGAGGGGUAACGGCCCACCAAGGCGAUGAUCAGUAGCCGGUCUGAGAGGAUGAACGGCCACAUUGGGACUGAGACACGGCCCAGACUCCUACGGGAGGCAGCAGUGGGGAAUCUUCCGCAAUGGACGAAAGUCUGACGGAGCAACGCCGCGUGAGCGAUGACGGCCUUCGGGUUGUAAAGCUCUGUUAAUCGGGACGAAAGGCCUUCUUGCGAAUAGUGAGAAGGAUUGACGGUACCGGAAUAGAAAGCCACGGCUAACUACGUG
rnacentral:rRNA from 1 species